CCGUACGGGCCAGAAAGCCAAGC
rnacentral:piRNA from 1 species